CUCAUUUGGAGCGUGUUCCACAGCACACGCAGCCCCCACACACUCAGUACCUUAGAACUGAACAAUGCACUCCCACACUUCAUUCCUGAGAUAAAGCACAGGGUUCUUACUGCCAAUAGAGGAUCAAUAGGACCAAAUACACUGCACAGAUGAGUUACAUGGUGGACUUGUUGCUACAUCUAUACCACAGAACUCUUAGAGCUUCUGACUUUCUGAAAGACCUUUACAAGGUGGGAUUUCUCACUUCCUUCCCAGACAGGAUGAGUGUUUGGCUGUGCAUCUUUAAUCUCCCUGUAACUCCCUCAGAAGGUUUCAACAUUAAACAGUCCUACAGAGGUCUCAGCAGUUGAAGACAAUGAAAUAGGCAGCAGGCCACAAAAUCAAGUUAUUUAAAAGAUGGUGAUAUUGGAUAUUCAAUCCUUCAUUGAUCAAGCACCUUGAGGCUGAAGAUUUGAAGUGUGGAUAGAGAAAACAAUUUGGAAGAGUUGUUCUACUGUGCUGGAUGUAAAUGCUCUCAACCACCAACCAUUACCCCCAGUGUGGGAAUGAGAAGAGUAUUUCUUUCUCAUCUAAAGCUUAACGAGAUUUUUAAAAGAACCAUUGAAGAGCUUGGUUGUGCCUUGAGUGGCCUUUAGUGACAGAGUAAGAAGACAGGCUGAAUACAGAGUUUUAAGUGACCAUACAGAGAUCUCAUUUUCAUAGCUAUAUCUGUGAGUGGAGAGGCUCCAAGAAGAAACCUUGAAGACCCCAAAAGGGCUCAAUAAGAGAAACUCCCAAAUCUGGCACUACUAAACACAGACAUUAACUAAACCAGACUACUAUGCCUUCUAUAACUUGCUCCAAACUCACAAAUGCUCGACUGUGAAGGAGUUGCCCAAUAUGAAUGGGGAUAGAGAAGAAGGCAGGAUCAACCAAAUUCCCCCUUCCUUUUAGGGACCCAGCCCAAACUGGGAGAAGUGAGAAACUUGAAUAAGGGUUUUUGUUAGACUGGGCUGGAACUUUUACUAUCUGAGAAUGACCAAAAGAAUUGUGAGCUAUACCUAACAUUUCAUUCAGGGAAGCAGUAUGCUGUGGUUUCAAAAUGUGUCCACAAAUUCUUCGAUGCUCCCUCCUUCAGAUGGUAAAGUAUAAUACUCCUUUUGAGUGCAAGCUACUCUUAGUGACUCCUUUCUAAAGAAUAGAAUAUGGUGGAAACAAUGUUAUAGGACCCUGGUCAUAUAAGGCAGGGCAAGCUUCUUCCUUCCAUGCUCUCUUGGAUCAUAUGUUCUAGAGGAAGACAGCUUCCCUUCCAUGAGGAGAUUCAUGCAGCCUUUGUGUGGCCUGUACCUGUUUGCAAUUUUCAUAUGCAAG
rnacentral:lncRNA from 1 species